rnacentral:rRNA from 1 species
GACGAACGCUGGCGGCGUGCCUAAUACAUGCAAGUAGAACGGAGUUGCGAACGGGGGAGUAACGCGUAGGUAACUGCCUCAUAGCGGGGGAUAACUAUUGGGAACGAUAGCUGAAACCGCAAACUUAUAGAUGGACCUUCGUUGUAUUCGCUAGUUGGUGAGGUAAAGGAUAACCAAGGCGCCGAUCAAUAGCCGACCUGGGAGGGGUGUCCGCCACACUGGGACUGGAGCACGGCCCAGACGCCGACGGGAGUCAGCAGUAGGGAAUCUUCGGCAAUGGACGGAAGGCUGACCGAGCAACGCCGCGGGAGUGAAGAAGGUUUUCGGAUCGUAAAGCUAUGUUGUUAGAGAAGCGGUAACUAACCAGAAAGGGACGGCUAACUACGUGCCAGCCGCCGCGGUAAUAC